GGCGACGUGCGCGUGCCUAUACAUGCAGUCGAACGAACUCUGGUAUUGAUUGGUGCUUGCAUCAUGAUUUACAUUUGAGUGAGUGGCGAACUGGUGAGUAACACGUGGGAAACCUGCCCAGAAGCGGGGGAUAACACCUGGAAACAGAUGCUAAUACCGCAUAACAACUUGGACCGCAUGGUCCGAGUUUGAAAGAUGGCUUCGGCUAUCACUUUUGGAUGGUCCCGCGGCGUAUUAGCUAGAUGGUGGGGUAACGGCUCACCAUGGCAAUGAUACGUAGCCGACCUGAGAGGGUAAUCGGCCACAUUGGGACUGAGACACGGCCCAAACUCCUACGGGAGGCAGCAGUAGGGAAUCUUCCACAAUGGACGAAAGUCUGAUGGAGCAACGCCGCGUGAGUGAAGAAGGGUUUCGGCUCGUAAAACUCUGUUGUUAAAGAAGAACAUAUCUGAGAGUAACUGUUCAGGUAUUGACGGUAUUUAACCAGAAAGCCACGGCUAACUACGUGCCAGCAGCCGCGGUAAUACGUAGGUGGCAAGCGUUGUCCGGAUUUAUUGGGCGUAAAGCGAGCGCAGGCGGUUUUUUAAGUCUGAUGUGAAAGCCUUCGGCUCAACCGAAGAAGUGCAUCGGAAACUGGGAAACUUGAGUGCAGAAGAGGACAGUGGAACUCCAUGUGUAGCGGUGAAAUGCGUAGAUAUAUGGAAGAACACCAGUGGCGAAGGCGGCUGUCUGGUCUGUAACUGACGCUGAGGCUCGAAAGUAUGGGUAGCAAACAGGAUUAGAUACCCUGGUAGUCCAUACCGUAAACGAUGAAUGCUAAGUGUUGGAGGGUUUCCGCCCUUCAGUGCUGCAGCUAACGCAUUAAGCAUUCCGCCUGGGGAGUACGGCCGCAAGGCUGAAACUCAAAGGAAUUGACGGGGGCCCGCACAAGCGGUGGAGCAUGUGGUUUAAUUCGAAGCUACGCGAAGAACCUUACCAGGUCUUGACAUACUAUGCAAAUCUAAGAGAUUAGACGUUCCCUUCGGGGACAUGGAUACAGGUGGUGCAUGGUUGUCGUCAGCUCGUGUCGUGAGAUGUUGGGGUUAAGUCCCGCAACGAGCGCAACCCUUAUUAUCAGUUGCCAGCAUUAAGUUGGGCACUCUGGUGGAGACUGCCGGUGACAAACCGGAGGAAAGGGGGGGGGGAAGAAAGUCAAAUCAUCAUGGCCCCUUAUGACCUGGGGGUACACACCUG
rnacentral:rRNA from 2 species